rnacentral:rRNA from 1 species
GACGAACGCUGGCGGCGUGCCUAAUACAUGCAAGUCGAGCGGACUGAAUGGGAGCUUGCUCUUGUUCGGUCAGCGGCGGACGGGUGAGUAACACGUGGGCAACCUGCCCGCAAGACCGGGAUAACUCCGGGAAACCGGAGCUAAUACCGGAUAACACCGAAGACCGCAUGGUCUUUGGUUGAAAGGCGGCGCAAGCUGCCACUUGCGGAUGGGCCCGCGGCGCAUUGGCUAGUUGGUGAGGGAACGGCUCACCAAGGCGACGAUGCGUAGCCGGCCGGAGAGGGUGACCUGCGACACUGGGCCGGGGACACGGCCCAGACUCCUACGGGAGGGAGCAGGAGGGGAUCUUCCGCAAUGGGAGAAAGGCUGACGGAGCGACGCCGCGUGCGCGAAGAAGGCCGUCGGGUCGGGAAGGUCUGUUGGGAGGGACGAAGGAGCGCCGUUUGAAGAAGGCGGCGCGGUGACGGUACCUCACGAGGAAGCCCCGGCUAACUACGUG